UACGUAGGUGGCGAGCGUUGUCCGGAUUUACUGGGCGUAAAGAGCGCGCAGGCGGUCGUUCAAGUCGCGUGUGAAAGCCCCCGGCUCAACUGGGGAGGGUCACGCGAUACUGAUCGACUCGAAGGCAGGAGAGGGAAGUGGAAUUCCCGGUGUAGUGGUGAAAUGCGUAGAUAUCGGGAGGAACACCAGUGGCGAAGGCAGCUCGCUGGGACGUGACUGACGCUGAGGAGCGAAAGCGUGGGGAGCGAACAGG
rnacentral:rRNA from 1 species